rnacentral:rRNA from 1 species
GACGAACGCUGGCGGCGUGCUUAACACAUGCAAGUCGAACGGAAAGGCCCUGCUUUUGUGGGGUGCUCGAGUGGCGAACGGGUGAGUAACACGUGAGUAACCUGCCCUUGACUUUGGUAUAACUUCAGGAAACUGGGGCUAAUACCGGAUAGGAGCUCCUGCUGCAUGGUGGGGGUUGGAAAGUUUCGGCGGUUGGGGAUGGACUCGCGGCUUAUCAGCUUGUUGGUGGGGUAGUGGCUUACCAAGGCUUUGACGGGUAGCCGGCCUGAGAGGGUGACCGGCCACAUUGGGACUGAGAUAAGGCCCAGACUCCUAAGGGAGGCAGCAGUGGGGAAUAUUGCACAAUGGGCGGAAGCCUGAUGCAGCAACGCCGCGUGCGGGAUGACGGCCUUCGGGUUGUAAACCGCUUUCGCCUGUGACGAAGCGUGAGUGACGGUAAUGGGUAAAGAAGCACCGGCUAACUACGUG